rnacentral:tRNA from 1 species
UCCCUGGUGGCUCAGCUGGUAAAGAAUCUGCCUACAAUGCAGCAGACCUGGGUUCAAUUCCUGGGCUGGGAA